rnacentral:lncRNA from 1 species
GACAGAGAAAGCCCAGUUUCAACAGUCAUAUUUUAAUCUUAUAUGAAUUUCAUAUGAAAAAUGAGAAAAGCACCCACUCAUCAUACAAAAGGGACACGAGUGAGUUUGGACUGAAAAAAAGAUGACAAAAAGGAAAAAGAACCCGGCCAAUAAUGCAGCAAAAUUCUAUUCUUUGACGAUCUUAUCCACUGGAAUAGUCAGAGCAUCUGAAAAUAUUAAAUGUGGUUGUUUUCCUGAUUAUAUAUCUAUUGUUCCUUGAAAAUAUUUUCUGCAACAUCUUUCCGUUAAGCCAAAAGCAAAGUUGCCUAUUCAUGUGCUGCCCAGAAGUCAAAGGAGCAGUUCCAAAGCAUCCUGAUACUGAGGAGGGCUUCCACAGAGUGGUGGAGGCAAAUUUUCUUGGAAUUGGAAAGAUACUUCAGGAGCAUUCCACUUCUGAGCAUUAUGAUCCCCAAGCUCACAGAGUCUAACAACUUAUCCAAAUCACAUGGCCUUGCUUCAGACACCUAUGGC